rnacentral:rRNA from 1 species
AUUGAACGCUAGCUACAGGCUUAACACAUGCAAGUCGAGGGGUAACAAGAGAAAAGCUUGCUUUUCUUGUUGACGACCGGCGCACGGGUGAGUAACGCGUAUCCAACCUGCCUAUAACUAGGGAAUAACCUUGCGAAAGUAAGACUAAUACCCUACGAUUUCCUUUGAUGGCAUCAGAUUAGGAAUAAAGAUUUAUCGGUUAUAGAUGGGGAUGCGUCUGAUUAGCUUGUUGGCGGGGUAACGGCCCACCAAGGCAACGAUCAGUAGGGGUUCUGAGAGGAAGGUCCCCCACAUUGGAACUGAGACACGGUCCAAACUCCUACGGGAGGCAGCAGUGAGGAAUAUUGGUCAAUGGGCGGAAGCCUGAACCAGCCAAGUAGCGUGCAGGAUGACGGCCCUAUGGGUUGUAAACUGCUUUUAUACAGGAAUAAAGUUAGCCACGUGUGGUUAUUUGUAGGUACUGUAUGAAUAGGGACCGGCUAAUUCCGUGCCAGCCGCCGCCGUAA